UCCUGGCUUAGGACGAACGCUGGCGGCGUGCCUAAUACAUGCAAGUCGAACGGUCUUUCUAUGGAAGCUUGCUUCCACUGAGAAGAUAGUGGCGAACGGGUGAGUAACACGUGGGUAACCUGCCCAUAAGAGGGGGGAUAACAUCCGGAAACGGGUGCUAAUACCGCAUAGUUUCUUGAUCGCAUGAUCGGGAAAGGAAAGACGGCCUUUGUGCUGUCGCUUAUGGAUGGACCCGCGGCGUAUUAGUUAGUUGGUGAGGUAAUGGCUCACCAAGACGAUGAUACGUAGCCGACCUGAGAGGGUGAUCGGCCACAUUGGGACUGAGACACGGCCCAAACUCCUACGGGAGGCAGCAGUAGGGAAUCUUCCGCAAUGGACGAAAGUCUGACGGAGCAACGCCGCGUGAGUGAAAGAAGGUUUUCGGAUCGUAAAACUCUGUUGUCAGAGAAGAACAAGUUGGAGAGUAACUGCUCCAGCCUUGACGGUAUCUGACCAGAAAGCCACGGCUAACUACGUGCCAGCCGCCGC
rnacentral:rRNA from 1 species